GUGCAGCAGUCGAGAAUUUUUCUCAAUGGGCGAAAGCCUGAAGGAGCGACGCCGCGUGGAGGAUGAAGGCUUUCGGGUUGUAAACUCCUGUCAUUUGAGAACAAGUGUAGCCAAAUAACUACUGGCUACUUGAUAGUAUCAGAAGAGGAAGGGACGGCUAACUCUGUGCCAGCAGCCGCGGUAAUACAGAGGUCCCAAGCGUUGUUCGGAUUCAUUGGGCGUAAAGGGUGCGUAGGUGGCGCCGUCAGUGGGGUGUGAAAUUUCGGAGCUUAACUCCGAAACUGCAUUCCAUACUGCGGUGCUUGAGGACUGGAGAGGAGACUGGAAUUCAUGGUGUAGCAGUGAAAUGCGUAGAGAUCAUGAGGAAGACCAGUGGCGAAGGCGGGUCUCUGGACAGUUCCUGACACUGAGGCACGAAGGCUAGGGGAGCGAACGGGAUUAGAUACCCCGGUAGU
rnacentral:rRNA from 1 species